rnacentral:rRNA from 1 species
CCUACGGGCGGCAGCAGUGGGGAAUAUUGGGCAAUGGGCGCAAGCCUGACCCAGCAACGCCGCGUGAAGGAAGAAGGCUUUCGGGUUGUAAACUUCUUUUCUCAGGGACGAAACAAGUGACGGUACCUGAGGAAUAAGCCACGGCUAACUACGUGCCAGCAGCCGCGGUAAUACGUGGGGGGCAAGCGUUAGCCGGAUUUACUGGGUGUAAAGGGCGUGUAGGCGGGACUGGAAGUCAGAUGUGAAAACCACGGGCUCAACCCGUGGCCUGCAUGUGAAACUGUAGUUCUUGAGUACUGGAGAGGCAGACGGAAUUCCUAGUGUAGCGGUGAAAUGCGUAGAUAUUAGGAGGAACACCAGUGGCGAAGGCGGUCUGCUGGACAGCAACUGACGCUGAGGCGCGAAAGCGUGGGGAGCAAACGGGAUUAGAUACCCGUGUAGUC